UUGAACGCUGGCGGCAUGCCUUACACCUGCCAGUCGAACGGCAGCACGGGUGCUUGCACCAGGUGGCGAGUGGCGAACGGGUGAGUAAUACAUCGGAACAUGUCCUGUAGUGGGGGAUAGCCCGGCGAAAGCCGGAUUAAUACCGCAUACGAUCUACGGAUGAAAGCGGGGGACCUUCGGGCCUCGCGCUAUAGGGUUGGCCGAUGGCUGAUUAGCUAGUUGGUGGGGUAAAGGCCUACCAAGGCGACGAUCAGUAGCUGGUCUGAGAGGACGACCAGCCACACUGGGACUGAGACACGGCCCAGACUCCUACGGGAGGCAGCAGUGGGGAAUUUUGGACAAUGGGCGAAAGCCUGAUCCAGCAAUGCCGCGUGUGUGAAGAAGGCCUUCGGGUUGUAAAGCACUUUUGUCCGGAAAGAAAUCCUUGGCCCUAAUACGGUCGGGGGAUGACGGUACCGGAAGAAUAAGCACCGGCUAACUACGUG
rnacentral:rRNA from 1 species